rnacentral:rRNA from 1 species
CCUACGGGAGGCAGCAGUGGGGAAUAUUGGACAAUGGGGGCAACCCUGAUCCAGCCAUGCCGCGUGUGUGAAGAAGGCCCUCGGGUUGUAAAGCACUUUCAGUGAGGAAGAACGCCUGGUGGUUAAUACCCAUCAGGAAAGACAUCACUCACAGAAGAAGCACCGGCUAACUCCGUGCCAGCAGCCGCGGUAAUACGGAGGGUGCGAGCGUUAAUCGGAAUUACUGGGCGUAAAGCGCGCGUAGGUGGCUUGAUAAGCCGGUUGUGAAAGCCCCGGGCUCAACCUGGGAACGGCAUCCGGAACUGUCAAGCUAGAGUGCAGGAGAGGAAGGUAGAAUUCCCGGUGUAGCGGUGAAAUGCGUAGAGAUCGGGAGGAACACCAGUGGCGAAGGCGGCCUUCUGGACUGACACUGACACUGAGGUGCGAAAGCGUGGGUAGCAAACAGGAUUAGAUACCCCGGUAGUC